rnacentral:rRNA from 1 species
AUUGAACGCUAGCGGGAUGCUUUACACAUGCAAGUCGAACGAGUGGCGGACGGGUGAGUAAUAUAUCGGAACGUGCCCAGUAGCGGGGGUUAACUACUGGAAAGAGUGGCUAAUACCGCUAACUAUUGGUGCGCCCGCUAUCGGAUUAGUUAGUUGGUGGGGUAAAGGCUCACCAGGGCAACGAUCCGUAGCUGUUUUGAGAGGACGACCAGCCACACUGGGACUGAGACACGGCCCAGACUCCUACGUGAGGCAGCAGUGGGGAAUUUUGGACAAUGGGGGAAACCCUGAUCCAGCCAUCCCGCGUGUAUGAGAAGGCCUUCGGGUUGUAAAGUACUUUUGGCAGAGAAGCGGUAUCUGCAGAAUAAGCACCGGCUAACUACGUGCCAGCCGCCGCGGUAAUUC